CUCUCUCCCUCUCUCCCUUUCCAAAUGAUUCAGAAGUCGAUAAGACCAGGAGAAGUGAAGAUGUAACAUGUUAUCUGUCGCUCCUCUUAGCUGGCGGAGAGAAUUUACAUUUAAAGAUUAGCAGAGUGAGAAAGAGAAAUCUGCCUUUUGUUGUGUGGGGUGAGGAGGAGGCAUCUACCCCUGGCCUUGACGCUAUCUCCCAUCACCUCUGCUAUCCAGACAGGACUCACCGAGUAUCAAAUGAUAAGAACUGAGCACACUGGAUGAAAUAAUACUUGCACUGGGAGCACUAAGAAAAGAUUGAUCUCUGGGCUGGUGAACAUAAUCUCUGUCCCAGUCAGAAAAGGAGAGAGGAAAUUAGCAGAGCGAUUGGUGGAGAAUGAUAUCUGUCAAAAGAAACACUUGGAGAGCACUGAGUUUAGUAAUAGGUGACUGCCGGAAAAAAGGGAACUUUGAAUAUUGUCAAGGCGCACGCGCCCAGCACCCUGCCUCCGGCGAUGCCGCCCCAGCCCCUCUGAUGGCCCUCCUCUCUGCUGCCACUCAUUCCAGAACA
rnacentral:lncRNA from 10 species